GACGAACGCUGGCGGCGUGCUUAACACAUGCAAGUCGAACGGAAAGGCCCUGCUUUUGUGGGGUGCUCGAGUGGCGAACGGGUGAGUAACACGUGAGUAACCUGCCCUUGACUUUGGGAUAACUUCACGAAACUGGGGCUAAUACCGGAUAGGAGCUCCUGCUGCAUGGUGGGGGUUGGAAAGUUUCGGCGGUUGGGGAUGGACUCGCGGCUUAUCAGCUUGUUGGUGGGGUAGUGGCUUACCAAGGCUUUGACGGGUAGCCGGCCUGGGAGGGUGACCGGCCACAUUGGGACUGAGAUACGGCCCAGACUCCUACGGGAGGCAGCAGUGGGGAAUAUUGCACAAUGGGCGGAAGCCUGAUGCAGCAACGCCGCGUGUGGGAUGACGGCCUUCGGGUUGUAAACCGCUUUCGCCUGUGACGAAGCGUGAGUGACGGUAAUGGGUAAAGAAGCACCGGCUAACUACGUG
rnacentral:rRNA from 1 species